UUCCGGUUGAUCCUGCCGGACCUGACUGCUAUCGGAUUGAUACUAAGCCAUGCGAGUCAUUGUAGCAAUACAAGGCAUACGGCUCAGUAACGCGUAGUCAACCUACCCUAUGGACGGAAAUAACCUCGGGAAACUGAGAAUAAUAUCCGAUAGAACAUUAUGCCUGGAAUGGUUUAUGUUCCAAAUGAUUUAUCGUCGUAGGAUGGGACUGCGGCCUAUCAGUUUGUUGGUGAGGUAAUGGCCCACCAAGACUAUUACAGGUACGGGCUCUGAGAGGAGUAGCCCGGAGAUGGGUACUGAGACACGGACCCAGGCCCUAUGGGGCGCAGCAGGCGAGAAAACUUUGCAAUGUGCGAAAGCACGACAAGGUUAAUCCGAGUGAUUUCUGCUAAAGAAAUCUUUUGUUAGUCCUAGAAACACUAACGAAUAAGGGGUGGGCAAGUUCUGGUGUCAGCCGCCGCGGUAAAACCAGCACCUCAAGUGGUCAGGAUGAUUAUUGGGCCUAAAGCAUCCGUAGCCGGCUCUGUAAGUCCUCGGUUAAAUCUGUACGCUUAACGUACAGGCUGCCGGGAAUACUGCAUAGCUAGGGAGUGGGAGAGGUAGACGGUACUCGGUAGGAAAGGGGUAAAAUCCUUUGAUCUAUUGAUGACCACCUGUGGCGAAGGCGGUCUACCAGAACACGUCCGACGGUGAGGGAUGAAAGCUGGGGGAGCAAACCGGAUUAGAUACCCGGGUAGUCCCAGCUGUAAACUAUGCAAACUCAGUGAUGCAUUGGCUUGUGGCCAAUGCAGUGCUGCAGGGAAGCCGUUAAGUUUGCCGCCUGGGAAGUACGUACGCAAGUAUGAAACUUAAAGGAAUUGGCGGGGGAGCACCACAA
rnacentral:rRNA from 2 species